rnacentral:rRNA from 1 species
GAUGAACGCUGGCGGCGUGCCUAAUACAUGCAAGUCGAGCGAACAGACGAGGAGCUUGCUCCUCUGACGUUAGCGGCGGACGGGUGAGUAACACGUGGAUAACCUACCUAUAAGACUGGGAUAACUUCGGGAAACCGGAGCUAAUACCGGAUAAUAUAUUGAACCGCAUGGUUCAAUAGUGAAAGACGGUCUUGCUGUCACUUAUAGAUGGAUCCGCGCCGCAUUAGCUAGUUGGUAAGGUAACGGCUUACCAAGGCGACGAUGCGUAGCCGACCUGAGAGGGUGAUCGGCCACACUGGAACUGAGACACGGUCCAGACUCCUACGGGAGGCAGCAGUAGGGAAUCUUCCGCAAUGGGCGAAAGCUUGACGGAGCAACGCCGCGUGAGUGAUGAAGGUCUUCGGAUCGUAAAACUCUGUUAUUAGGGAAGAACAAAUGUGUAAGUAACUAUGCACGUCUUGACGGUACCUAAUCAGAAAGCCACGGCUAACUACGUG